GAACCAGUUUAAGUCAGAUGAAUA
rnacentral:piRNA from 1 species